rnacentral:rRNA from 1 species
UACGGGGGGAGCAAGCGUUGUUCGGAUUUACUGGGCGUAAAGGGCGCGUAGGCGGCCACCGCAAGUCGACUGUGAAAUCUCCGGGCUUAACCCGGAAAGGUCAGCCGAUACUGCGGGGCUAGAGUGCAGAAGGGGCAACUGGAAUUCUCGGUGUAGCGGUGAAAUGGCGUAGAUAUCGAGAGGAACACCUGCGGCGAAGGCGGGUUGCUGGGCUGACACUGACGCUGAGGCGCGAAAGCUAGGGGAGCGAACGGG